CAGGUAGAUAGGCUAGAAGUGGAAGUGUAGUGAUGCAUGGAGCGGACUAGUACUAAUAGGUCGAGGACUUAACCAAG
rnacentral:rRNA from 1 species